rnacentral:piRNA from 1 species
UUGCUGGAAAAAGAUUAAGAUCUCUCAUU